GACAGAGGGUGCAAACGUUGCUCGGAUUUACUGGGCGUAAAGCGCGUGUAGGCGGGCGACUAAGUCGGAUGUGAAAUCCCUGGGCUCAACCUAGGAACUGCAUUCGAAACUGGUCACCUAGAGUGAUGGAGAGGAAAGCGGAAUUCCCGGUGUAGAGGUGAAAUUCGUAGAUAUCGGGAGGAACACCAGUAGCGAAGGCGGCUCGCUGGGCCACACCUGACGCUGAGACGCGAAAGCUAGGGGAGCGAACAGG
rnacentral:rRNA from 1 species